GGUGAAUGCUGGCGGCGUGGAUGAGGCAUGCAAGUCGAAUGGGUUUAGACCCAUGGCAGACGAGGUAGGAACACGUAGGUACAUACCGAGAAGUCGGGGAUAAUCUAUCGAAAGGUAGGAUAAUACUCGAUGGUCCCGUAAGGGUAAAGAUUUAUCGCUUCUUGAAUGGCCUGCGUUCUAUCAGCUUGAUGGUAAGGUAACGGCUUACCAUGGCUACGACGGAUAGGGGAGGUGAGAGCCUGACCCCCACCGAUGGAACUGAGACACGGUCCAUACUCCUACGGGAGGCCGCAGUCGAGAAUCUUCCGCAAUGGACGAAAGUCUGACGGAGCGACGCCGCGUGGUGGAUGAAGCCCUUAGGGGCGUAAACACCUUUUAUGAAGGAGGAAUUUUAUUGACGUUACUUCAUGAAUAAGGGGCUCCCAAUUCUG
rnacentral:rRNA from 1 species